UAAUCCGGGUUGCGGACAGUGUCUGGUGGGUAGUUUGACUGGGGCGGUCUCCUCCUAAAGAGUAACGGAGGAGCACGAAGGUUGGCUAAUCCUGGUCGGACAUCAGGAGGUUAGUGCAAUGGCAUAAGCCAGCUUGACUGCGAGCGUGACGGCGCGAGCAGGUGCGAAAGCAGGUCAUAGUGAUCCGGUGGUUCUGAAUGGAAGGGCCAUCGCUCAACGGAUAAAAGGUACUCCGGGGAUAACAGGCUGAUACCGCCCAAGAGUUCAUAUCGACGGCGGUGUUUGGCACCUCGAUGUCGGCUCAUCACAUCCUGGGGCUGAAGUAGGUCCCAAGGGUAUGGCUGUUCGCCAUUUAAAGUGGUACGCGAGCUGGGUUUAGAACGUCGUGAGACAGUUCGGUCCCUAUCUGCCGUGGGCGCUGGAGAACUGAGGGGGGCUGCUCCUAGUACGAGAGGACCGGAGUGGACGCAUCACUGGUGUUCGGGUUGUCAUGCCAAUGGCACUGCCCGGUAGCUAAAUGCGGAAGAGAUAAGUGCUGAAAGCAUCUAAGCACGAAACUUGCCCCGAGAUGAGUUCUCCCUGAGACUUAGAGUCUCCUGAAGGAACGUUGAAGACGACGACGUUGAUAGGCCGGGUGUGUAAGCGCAGCGAUGCGUUGAGCUAACCGGUACUAAUGAACCGUGAGGCUUAACCUUACA
rnacentral:rRNA from 1 species